rnacentral:rRNA from 1 species
AGAACGAACGCUGGCGGCGUGGAUAAGACAUGCAAGUCGAACGGAAUAACCUGGUAGUAAUAUUAGGUUAUUUAGUGGCGAACGGGUGCGUAACACGUGGGUCACAUUCCGGGAAGUGGAGAAUAGCCCAGGGAAACUUGGAUUAAUGCUCCAUGUGGUCGCAAGACUAAAGGCGCAAGCCGCUUCCUGAUUGGCCCGCGGCCUAUCAGCUUGUUGGUGAGGUAAUGGCUCACCAAGGCUACGACGGGUAGCUGGUCUAAGAGGACGACCAGCCACACUGGAACUGAGACACGGUCCAGACACCUACGGGUGGCAGCAGUCGAGAAUCUUUCACAAUGGGGGCAACCCUGAUGGAGCGACGCCGCGUGGAGGAUAAGGUCUUCGGAUUGUAAACUCCUGUCAUGCGAGAACAAAGCCUCACGGCCUGAUAGUAUCGCAAGAGGAAGAGACGGCUAACUCUGUGCCAGCAGCCGCGGU